rfam:Populus trichocarpa scaffold_24_contig_50, whole genome shotgun sequence.
UCUAGAACUCGAGAUAUGGGCUGAACACUGAACAGUGUCUGGGCUGCAGGACAGAUUCAGACUUCUUCGUCGUUGCUACAAUUUUGACUUGAAAACGGCCUUGUUAAAUCUUGGACUCCUCAUGAAAGUUGUAGGCCUAUGUCUUAGCUUUCCAUC